rnacentral:misc_RNA from 1 species
CACUUCUAGCCUUCAUUGAUCAUCAGUAAAACCCUUCGUCGGCUCAAGUCCUUGUUGGCCAUCUUCCUUCUUGCUUGCAAUCUGUAUGUGAAGACCUCCUCUAGUCUUGCUUUGGACAUCAAUAAUCUCUUCAUUCUUCAGUAAGUUAAUUAAAAAUCUACUUAUAGAUUUAGGAAUUUUUAUUUGAAAUUGAUUUAGGGAUUUCAUUUUAGUUGAAAUUGAUUUAAGGAUUUAAGGAUUUUAUGAAAGAAUAAGCAUGGAGAAAAUUGAG